UACGGAGGUGGCAAGCGUUACUCGGAAUUAUUGGGUGUAAAGGGCAAGUAGGCGGCCUGUUAAGUGGGUGGUGAAAUACUCCGGCUCAAUCGGAGAACAGCCUUCCAAACUAUCAGGCUUGAGUAUAUUAGGGGGAAAUGGAAUUCUAGGUGUAAGGGUGAAAUCUGUAGAUAUCUAGAAGAACACCAGCGGCGAAGGCGAUUUCCUGGAAUAUUACUGACGCUAAAUUGCGAAAGCUAGGGGAGCAAACAGG
rnacentral:rRNA from 1 species